rnacentral:rRNA from 1 species
GUUAGGGAAGAACAAGUGCGAGAGUAACUGCUCGCACCUUGACGGUACCUAACCAGAAAGCCACGGCUAACUACGUGCCAGCAGCCGCGGUAAUACGUAGGUGGCAAGCGUUGUCCGGAAUUAUUGGGCGUAAAGGGCUCGCAGGCGGUUUCUUAAGUCUGAUGUGAAAGCCCCCGGCUCAACCGGGGAGGGUCAUUGGAAACUGGGAAACUUGAGUGCAGAAGAGGAGAGUGGAAUUCCACGUGUAGCGGUGAAAUGCGUAGAGAUGUGGAGGAACACCAGUGGCGAAGGCGACUCUCUGGUCUGUAACUGACGCUGAGGAGCGAAAGCGUGGGGAGCGAACAGGAUUAGAUACCCUGGUAGUCCACGCGUAAACGAGAGUGCUAAGGGUGUUAGGGGGUUUCCGCCCCUUAGUGCUGCAGCUAACGCAUUAAGCACUCCGCCUGGGGAGUACGGUCGCAAGACUGAAACUCAAAGGAAUUGACGGGGGCCCGCACAAGCGGUGGAGCAUGUGGUUUAAUUCGAAGCAACGCGAAGAACCUUACCAGGUCUUGACAUCCUCUGACAACCCUAGAGAUAGGGCUUUCCCUUCGGGGACAGAGUGACAGGUGGUGCAUGGUUGUCGUCAGCUCGUGUCGUGAGAUGUUGGGUUAAGUCCCGCAACGAGCGCAACCCUUGAUCUUAGUUGCCAGCAUUUAGUUGGGCACUCUAAGGUGACUGCCGGUGACAAACCGGAGGAAGGUGGGGAUGACGUCAAAUCAUCAUGCCCCUUAUGACCUGGGCUACACACGUGCUACAAUGGACAGAACAAAGGGCUGCGAGACCGCAAGGUUUAGCCAAUCCCAUAAAUCUGUUCUCAGUUCGGAUCGCAGUCUGCAACUCGACUGCGUAAGCUGGAAU